UGGGAACUGCAUCUGAUACUGUUAAGCUAGAGUAGGUGAGAGGGAAGUAGAAUUCCAGGUGUAGCGGUGAAAUGCGUAGAGAUCUGGAGGAAUACCGAUGGCGAAGGCAGCUUCCUGGCAUCAUACUGACACUGAGGCUCGAAAGCGUGGGUAGCAAACAGGAUUAGAUACCCUGGUAGUCCANGCCGUAAACGAUGUCUNNUAGUCGUUGGGUCCCUUGAGGACUUAGUGACGCAGNUAACGCAAUAAGUAGACCGCNUGGGGAGUACGGCCGCAAGGUUAAAACUCAAAUGAAUUGACGGGGGCCCGCACAAGCGGUGGAGCAUGUGGUUUANUUNGNUGCAACGNGAAGAACCUUACCUGGUCUUGACAUACACAGAAUCUUGUANAGAUACGAGAGUGCCUUCGGGAAUUGUGAUACAGGUGCUGCAUGGCNGUCGUCAGNUNGUGUCGUGAGAUGUUGGGUUAAGUCCCGCAACGAGCGCAACCCUUGUCCUUAGUUACCAGCGGGUUAAGCCGGGAACUCUAAGGAUACUGCCAGUGACAAACUGGAGGAAGGCGGGGACGANGUCAAGUCAUCAUGGCCCUUACGACCAGGGCUACACACGUGCUACANUGGUAGGUACAGAGGGCAGCUACACAGCGAUGUGAUGCGAAUCUCAAAAAGCCUAUCGUAGUCCAGAUUGGAGUCUGCAACUCGACUCCAUGAAGUAGGAAUCGCUAGUAAUCGCGGAUCAGAAUGCCGCGGUGAAUACGUUCCCGGGCCUUGUACACACCGCCCGUCACACCAUGGGAGUUGANUGCACCAGAAGUGGUUAGCCUAACUUAGUGAGGGCG
rnacentral:rRNA from 1 species